UACGAGGACGACGCUGGCGGCGUGCUUAACACAUGCAAGUCGAACGGUAAGGCCCUUCGGGGUACGCGAGUGGCGAACGGGUGAGUAACACGUGGGUGAUCUGCCCUGCACUUCGGGAUAAGCCUGGGAAACUGGGUCUAAUACCGGAUAGGACCAUGGACUUCACGGUUUGUGGUGGAAAGCUUUUGCGGUGUGGGAUGGGCCCGCGGCCUAUCAGCUUGUUGGUGGGGUAAUGGCCUACCAAGGCGACGACGGGUAGCCGGCCUGAGAGGGUGUCCGGCCACACUGGGACUGAGAUACGGCCCAGACUCCUACGGGAGGCAGCAGUGGGGAAUAUUGCACAAUGGGCGCAAGCCUGAUGCAGCGACGCCGCGUGAGGGAUGACGGCCUUCGGGUUGUAAACCUCUUUCAAUAGGGACGAAGCGCAAGUGACGGUACCUAUAGAAGAAGCACCGGCCAACUACGUG
rnacentral:rRNA from 1 species